rnacentral:misc_RNA from 1 species
GAAAUGCGAUACGUAAUGUGAAUUGCAGAAUUCAGUGAAUCAUCGAAUCUUUGAACGCAUAUUGCGCUCUCUGGUAUUCCGGAGAGCAUGCUUGUUUGAGUAUCAGUAAACACCCCUCGAAAAUCCCUUGAUGAAAAUCUCUGGGUUAUUUUUUUUUCGGAUUUGAGUGAUCCCAACGUGUGUCCCUUUCGCAGGGACAUGGGGCGGGCCACUUGAAAUGCAGGUGCAGCUGGACUUUCUUCUGAGCUAUAAGCAUAUUUAUUUAGUCCUGUCAACCUUGUGUUGCGGAUUAUUACUUCUGCUGCAGCUAAUAUAAAGGUCGAAAGGUUCAAAUGCUGACUGAUGCAGGAAUUUUUCAGUUGGGGGCGGUAAGCUCUCCUCUGUUAAACUCGAUCUCAAA